rnacentral:rRNA from 1 species
AGGAUAAACGCUGGCGGCGUGCCUAACACAUGCAAGUCGAACGAGAAAGUGGAGCAAUCCAUGAGUAAAGUGGCGCACGGGUGAGUAACACGUGACUAACCUACCCUUGAGUGGGGGAUAACCUAGAGAAAUCUGGGCUAAUACCGCAUAAUACCUUCGGGUCAAAGGAGCAAUUCGCUUAAGGAGGGGGUCGCGGCCGAUUAGUUAGUUGGCGGGGUAAUGGCCCACCAAGACUGUGAUCGGUA